AUUGAACGCUGGCGGCAUGCCUUACACAUGCAAGUCGAACGGCAGCACGGGAGCAAUCCUGGUGGCGAGUGGCGAACGGGUGAGUAGUACAUCGGAACGUGCCUAGUAGUGGGGGAUAGCCCGGCGAAAGCCGGAUUAAUACCGCAUACGACCUGAGGGUGAAAGCGGGGGAGCGCAAGACCUCGCGCUAUCAGAGCGGCCGAUGCCAGAUUAGGUAGUUGGUGGGGUAAAAGCCUACCAAGCCGACGAUCUGUAGCUGGUCUGAGAGGACGACCAGCCACACUGGGACUGAGACACGGCCCAGACUCCUACGGGAGGCAGCAGUGGGGAAUUUUGGACAAUGGGCGCAAGCCUGAUCCAGCCAUGCCGCGUGCAGGAAGAAGGCCUUCGGGUUGUAUACUGCUUUUGUCAGGGAAGAAAAGUUCUGGGCUAAUACCCCGGAGCGAUGACGGUACCUGAAGAAUAAGCACCGGCUAACUACGUGCCAGCCGCCGCGGUAA
rnacentral:rRNA from 1 species